CCACUCCCUCUAACAUGUAAACUCACUGAGCAGGCCCUCAAUCCCUCUGUUACUGUGUCACUAUACCCCACUCCCUCUAACAUGUAAACUCACUGAGCAGGCCCUCAAUCCCUCUGUUACUGUGUCACUAUACCCCACUCCCUCUAACAUGUAAACUCACUGAGCAGGGCCCUCAAUCCCUCUGUUACUGUCACUAUACCCCACUCCCUCUAACAUGUAAACUCACUGAGCGGGCCCUCAAUCCCUCUGUUACUGUGUCACUAUACCCCACUCCCUCUAACAUGUAAACUCACU